rnacentral:lncRNA from 1 species
UCCUCUAAAAUAUCUUCUCUGCCUUUCUAGAACAUUGAAACCCUAGAUAGAACACUUUCUCUCUCGAUUCUCUCUGCGUAAAUCUUGAGAAUAUCAUCGGCGAUGCAGGCUUUUAUCUACUUUUCCGAUUCACAUCUGAUAACAUCAAGGUAUGUUAACAUGUAAUCCCGUAUUUGAUUCCAUUUUCGCUUCGAUCGUCGUCUUCAUCCUUAAUCUCUCUGAUUUUUUCUUGAUAAUAUCAUCGGCGAUGCUUUUUUCCGAUUAACAUCUGAUAACAUCAAUGUAUCACUUUAUCGUUGUUGAUUUUCAUUUUUUUUGCUGUGUAUCAAAGUGAUACAUUGAUUAUUUGUUACCGGAUUUCGUCAAACCAGGAAUAAUGAUGAUGAUGGAAUUGAUGAGAAAAAUAUUAUGAAUUGUAAAAGGGUUUUCAAUAAGAAAAGAAAGUAUGCAAUGAAAACCAGUUUGCCGUAAAGGUUAGGUGUAUAAACACAUAGACAUGAUCAUCGUAUUUUUGUUCGACAUGGUAUAGUUAAGUAGUUAACCCGAGAUUGUUUUGGUUGACAAAUGGCAAUCGAAGUUGAGUUCAGUGGCUCUACGAUUCGGGUUAAUUGGUAACUUGUGUCUAGCAUUUUUGUUCUUCCCAGUGACUCGAGGAUCGUCUAUAUUGUUGCUGUUCGGGCUAACUUCUGAGGCCAGCAUCAAGUAUCACAUAUGGCUAGGCCAUAUUGUUAUGACCCUCUUCACUUCUCAUGGUGUUUGUUACAUUAUUUAUUGGAUAGUCACCAAGUAGACAUCAGAGGUUGUAAAUGGGCUGGUAGUUUGUAAUCAAGUCAUAAACAGGUUGUUUUUUUUUUCAAAAAGGAUGAACCAUGGCAAGCCUCUUGGUGCAGUUCCCACACGUCUGAACGACCUUGCAACUUUAGUUGUCGGGACACACGUACCAAAGUUACGCAACCUUCAUCGCCAACACUGUAUUUGAAGCCACUGAUAACAGUACCAUAGCAUCAACGACAGUGAUCUACAAAAGGUCCAAAAAACUUUAGCAUUUAGUGGUAGCGCGUGGCUACGGUUGUGCGGUGGCUGAAUCGGGUGGUGAUCGGCGGCUGAUUCAUAGCCGUGAAUGGUGACAUAUAGCUGCCAUUCUGGUCAGUUUUGGGCUGAAGCCGUGAAUACAUUUCACUUAAUGGGUCGUGCCUUGACCAGCUAGACAUUCUGGUACAUACUUGUACUCAAAAUUAAGGGUGCAACAUUCGAGCCGAGCCUGAGCUCGAUCAGACUUGAGCUCGAGCUUGAUUAACUUAUGAAAGCUCGAGCUCAAGCUUAUGUUGAUUCGAGCUUUGUUUUCAAAGCUCGAGUUCAGCUCGUUGGUAUUUUCUUAAGCUUGAGCUGUUGGGUCUAAAAUUGAGACUGAAGCUUGCCAAAUUGAAGAUUACAACACACAUGAAGUUGACGGUUCUAAAGAUGAUACAAGAGUUUGAUAACAUUAGCCUAAGGGGGAGAUUGUUGGGUCUAAAACGUGUAGUCUAAUGUUAUCAUCGAAUCAAGUCAACAAAGUCAACACCAUCAUGUCAAAGUCAACGCGCAAGUCGACACGAGAAGUUCGAAGAAAGAUAUGACGUGUGAAAGAUCAAGAUUUGAUGGUUAUAGUGCUUUGGAUAAUUAAAUAUAUUUUGAGUAGACAAAAUAUAUUUAUUAUCUUGUUUAAUGAGUUUUCAUGCUUAGUGCUAUUUUUAGUAAGUUAUUAUAUCUAGGGACUUAAUUGUAAUUAGCCUAAAAUGGUAAAGGCUAUAAAUAGAUAGAGAUGAUUAGGGUUUUAGGAACAUAUAUUCUAGAGAGAUUUGAGGGUUUUUAGUGAAAACAUCUUUUAUACAAAUCUUUUGGGGCUUUA